ACGCCCGUAGUAUACCUAAGAGUGGGUGUGUAGUAAUUAGUUUUACCAGAGGACGGUUGGCGAGAGUUUAUCACUCUUGUUUGCCUACUUUUGGUAGACUUUAGUCGGGCUGGAUCUUUGGUCCUCGUCUGACAGUUGCUACGUACUUACUUACCACGGUUCAUCCGUGAGGCCCUUGGCUUGCAACUGUAAAUAAAUCGUUGUGCUUAAAGCGGGCUAUGAUACUCUGCCAGAGCGAUUUAGCAUGGGACUGCAGAGUAGCUGUAUUUGAGCGAAGGUUGCACCUCGGUGUGGCUGGAGCUUGGUACAGCGCUUGUAAUGGAGCUCAGGGUGAGGCCCCGGGUACCAUGAGGCUAGAGGUGAAAUUCUGAGACCCUCAUGUGACCAACUAAGGCGAAAGCUGUCGUGGGCCACCACAAGCUCGUCUAUCAGGGACGAAAGUUGGGGGAUCGAAGACGAUUAGAUACCGUCGUAGUCCCAACUAUAAACGAUACCAACCGAGUAUUUGGGAAGACACUAUCCCAGCGAUCUUCUCAGAACUCAAGGGAAACCUUAAGUCUUUGGGUUCUGGGGGGAGUAUAGUCGCAAGACCGAAACUUAAAGGAAUUGACGGAAAGGCACCACCAGGAGUGGAGUCUGCGGCUUAAUUCGACUCAACACGGGGAAACUCACCAGGUCAGGACACAAGUUUGAUUGACAGGUUAAUAGCCCUUUCUUGAUUGUGUGGUGGGUAGUGCAUGGCCGUUUCCAGUUCGUGGAGUGAUCUGUCUUGUUAAUUCAGAUAACGAACGAGACCUAAGCCUUUAACUAGCCGUAGGCCUUUUCCUUCGGGGAAGGGUUAGUUUGUCGGAACAGGUUUCGGCCUGUUCCAAAACCUACGAGACUUUUGUCAGCUUCUUAAAGGGACUUCAUUCGUAAACUAGGAUGAGGAAGAUUUAGGCCAUAACAGGUCUGUGAUGCUCUUAGAUGUCCUGGGCUGCACGCGUACUACAAUAACGGUACCAGCGAGCGCUAUGGUUUUAUAACCCCUUAUCCUAAUAGGAUUGGGAAAACUUUUCAAACACCGUUAUGACAGGGAUCGAGGAUUGGAACAUCCUCGUGAACGAGGAAUUCCUAGUAAGCGUGGUUCAUCAUACCACAUUGAUUACGUCCCUGCCUUUUGUACACACCGCCCGUCGCUCCUACCGAUGGGACGAAGAGAUGAACCUGGCGGACCGAACCGCAAGGUAAGGGAAACCAGUUAAAUCUCUUCGUCUGUAGGAAGGAAAAGUCGUAACAAGGUCUUCGUAGGUGAACCUGCGUAGG
rnacentral:rRNA from 1 species